GCGUAAUUAAGAGGUUGGCACAGUGGGGACCGGGCAAAUAACUAAAAAAAAGGUUAUCAACUUUGGGGUUUGGGGGUGGGGGUUAGAGGUUAGGAGGUGGGGUUAGAGGUUAGGGUUAGAGGUUAGGAUUAGGGUUUGGAUCAACGUUUGGAUUAAUUGUGGACCCAUUACAACCCAAUACUUUAUUGCAUACAAUGGCAUUACAACGCCAAUAACUUAUUGGUUACAACGUGCGGAGCGGCUGAAAUUAUAGCUUUACUCUGAUGUAAAUGGAAUGGAAUUCGUACCCUCGCUAUACGUGCGCGUAUAGCGCGUGCUCAGGGAUGAACAAUCAGGGUAUUUUUACUAUUU